rnacentral:rRNA from 1 species
UACAGAGGUUGCAAACGUUUAUUCGGAAUCACUGGGCUUACAGAGUUCGUAGGCGGUCCGGAAAGUGGGGUGUGAAAGCCCUCGGCUCAACCGAGGAAUUGCGCUCCAAACUACCGGGCUAGAGGAAGAUAGAGGUGAGCGGAACUGAUGGUGGAGCGGUGAAAUGCGUUGAUAUCAUCAGGAACACCGGAGGCGAAGGCGGCUCACUGGGUCUUUUCUGACGCUGAGGAACGAAAGCUAGGGGAGCAAACGGG